rnacentral:rRNA from 1 species
AUUGAACGCUGGCGGCAGGCCUAACACAUGCAAGUCGAACGAGUGGCGGACGGGUGAGUAAUGUCUGGGAAACUGCCCGAUGGAGGGGGAUAACUACUGGAAACGGUAGCUAAUACCGCAUACCAUCAGAUGUGCCCAGAUGGGAUUAGCUAGUAGGUGGGGGAACGGCUCACCUAGGCGCCGAUCCCUAGCUGGUCUGAGAGGAUGACCAGCCACCCUGGAACUGAGACACGGGCCAGACUCCUACGGGAGGAAGCAGGGGUGAAUAUUGCACAAUGGGCGCAAGCCUGAUGCAGCCAUGCCGCGUGUAUGAAGAAGGCCUGCGGGUUGUAAAGUACUUUCAGCGGGGAGGCGUUACCCGCAGAAGAAGCACCGGCUAACUCCGUGCCAGCCGCCGCGGUAAUAC